rnacentral:rRNA from 1 species
AGUCGAACGAUGAACCUCACUUGUGGGGGGAUUAGUGGCGAACGGGUGAGUAACACGUGAGUAACCUGCCCUUGACUCUGGGAUAAGCCUGGGAAACCGGGUCUAAUACUGGAUACGACCUUCUGGCGCAUGCCAUGUUGGUGGAAAGCUUUUGUGGUUUUGGAUGGACUCGCGGCCUAUCAGCUUGUUGGUGGGGUAAUGGCCUACCAAGGCGACGACGGGUAGCCGGCCUGAGAGGGUGACCGGCCACACUGGGACUGAGACACGGCCCAGACUCCUACGGGAGGCAGCAGUGGGGAAUAUUGCACAAUGGGCGCAAGCCUGAUGCAGCGACGCCGCGUGAGGGAUGAAGGCCUUCGGGUUGUAAACCUCUUUCAGUAGGGAAGAAGCCGGCCUUUGGGUUGGUGACGGUACCUGCAGAAGAAGCGCCGGCUAACUACGUGCCAGCAGCCGCGGUAAUACGUAGGGCGCAAGCGUUAUCCGGAAUUAUUGGGCGUAAAGAGCUCGUAGGCGGUUUGUCGCGUCUGCCGUGAAAGUCCGGGGCUUAACCCCGGAUCUGCGGUGGGUACGGGCAGACUAGAGUGCAGUAGGGGAGACUGGAAUUCCUGGUGUAGCGGUGAAAUGCGCAGAUAUCAGGAGGAACACCGAUGGCGAAGGCAGGUCUCUGGGCUGU